rnacentral:rRNA from 1 species
UACGUAGGGGGCUAGCGUUGUCCGGAAUCAUUGGGCGUAAAGAGCGUGUAGGCGGUCCGGUAAGUCCGCUGUGAAAGUCGGGGGCUCAACCCUCGAAUGCCGGUGGAUACUGUCGGGCUAGAGUGCGGAAGAGGCGAGUGGAAUUCCUGGUGUAGCGGUGAAAUGCGCAGAUAUCAGGAGGAACACCUAUUGCGAAGGCAGCUCGCUGGGACGUAACUGACGCCGAGACGCGAAAGCGUGGGGAGCGAACAGG